CAAUAAUACAUCAAAGCUUCACAGACUCACACAACAUUAAAACAACAUAGCGUACAUAGCCAAAAAUAUGAAUUCAAGCGUCGAGAUUAUUGCUGAGUUCAAUUUCCGUGAAAGGCAUUUCGCUUCAGAGGAAGCCAAAUGGAAAUACAUUUUGGAAAUGGCCGAACGUAGAGAUAGAAGGAAGACUUGGAAUAGACUGAAUCGGAUUCGUCGAGCUCGAAUUCUUCAAAAUCUCAUCAUUUUCGUUCCGAUUUGUAGCUUGAUAGCGGAUCACCUAUUUAAGUAUAUAGAUGGUCCGGAAUCAAAUUCAGUUUAAGAAGACUUUCAUGUUUCUCUGUUCAGACACUAAACAUUAAAAUACUUGAAGUUAAAAUUAA
rnacentral:sRNA from 1 species